GGGUGCGGGGCCGGGCCGCCCCGCCGCACUUUGCACCUGUUCACCCAGCGCUCAUGAAAAAUGCAUCCACCUCCGAGCCGGAGCGAAGGAGGAGGCAAAAAGGAUCUGGUGGAGGUUCCUCUUAUCCUUCCACUGUACGUGAUCAGUCUCUUUAAUAAUUGUGCAAGGCAGGACUAUCCCACUGGCUCCAGCAGCGUCUUACCCGGAGAGGGUUCGGGUGGAUAAAUAAUUAAAAUCCUAUCCCUCUGCUUAGCGAAGAGAAAAGAAAAUAUUGACUCGGAUCCUUCUUCUUUUCCAUACAUCAGCUGCACCCGGAUUCACCCCGGAUAGUGCAGGUGAAGAAGAGGCAAAAAAAAAAAAAAAAAAAAAAAGGGAAAGAAGAGAAAAAGCCCACCCUACUCCGCCCCGGCAGCCCUCGGCUGUCUUCUCCGAAGGCUUUCUGAGCUUUCUGUCUCUGUCCUGGCGAGCUGUGCCUCUCCCCAAAGCCGCCUCGCCGCGCAGGAUGGAGGAAGCACUGAAGGGCACACUGGUCUCUUUGCUCCCCCUUUAUUCCAAGGCUGGGCAGCUUUGCUUCAGAUAUCCCCGCUCCGGGCAUGAAGGUACUGGAAAGAAAGAAAGUUCUUACCUGCUAUUUUCUAAGCCUAAUGCAUCCGAUCCGCGUUUAAAAGAACAUAAUUUUUAAUUUUAAAAAAUGGUCUGUGAGAAUUUCACUUCCUCAUAUUGAGUCCCAUCGAAUUUUCAUACGCCCUUUCAGGAAUUUUCCUCUAUUUAUUUACUUAGCAAUCCCAGCCGAUGGAAGGGGGAAAAAAAUAAAAAGAAAAAGAAAGAAAACCCAUAUAUAUGAGAUAGGUUUGGAUAUUGGACCGGAGGAGAGAUCAGUCCCAGGAGGAUGUUGGUACAGGAAAGGAGGCGGCUCUCGUUGCUCUGCCAGUGCAAUGAUGGUGCUCACACAUGUAGGACUCCUCGGGUGCGGGGUAUCCUUUGGUCUCUGGACUAAACUGGCUACAACGCAUUCAAUUGAGAUUUAUGAUUCGUGUUGAUGAAAGAUACGGAUGUUUCAUGACUGCUUCCAGUAAUCACUUGGCCAGAAGUCCUAGGAACAUCCUGGAACCCCCCCAACCCUGCCAGACAAUGGAUCAGCACAGGACACAAAAUUAUGCUUUCCAUAAAUAAUUGGUGAUCUAAAGAAGAACUCACUUGCCUUUGCCAGAAAAUGAAAGUUUCUCUCUGGUGUGGAGACACCACAUCCGUGCCUUGCUGGCCUGAUUGCUCUGCAGCCAUCCUGAAACAAUACACCACCAACAGAUGUGUGAACGUUUCCAUUCACUGGAAUGAAGUGUUAGUUGCAAAACAGAGUUUUGGUGAUUUGAAUUGCCUCAUGUGCAUCAAGCUGUGAAAGAGGUUUAAAGUAAAUCAUGAAUAUCAUAAAUAUUGUAUUUUUUGAAUUAUCAGCUCCAACAAGUCCACUGGCAAUAAAAAGUGAAGACAGGCAGAAUGGGGCCUGAUGUCUCUCAUUAGAGUUACCAGUGUUUCUAGAUGAAAUUACAAUCUUGCAGUGACAUGGAACUGAGUCUAUGGAAAAAGCUGAGAGAUAUUUUCAAGUUUUUUAAACUUGCUGAAAAAAAGAUUUUUGGCUUAAACCUGUCAUCUGACUUCUGCCAAAGAGGAGUGUUUGGAAAACAUGCACCAUAUUUCAGCACAGUGCUUGAUACGGCACUACUGGAUGGCUAAGGGUAGCCUUUGAGGAUAUGAAUUUCCUGUCUCUUGGGUUUUUUGUUCACUGACAUAGUGAGAAAAAAUUAUUUUGACACUUCUGACUUGCCAUGUCCGUGAGUUACGAUGGAAAGCCCAUUUCUGUGCAGACUGAAAAUCAUCCAUGCUGAACUGACAGAAGAUGUGCUGAGGAAUAAAGAAACUGCAGCUCCAAAUGGUUUGCUUUAAACUAUGUACCUGGUAGCGCUUUUCCUCUCUUCUGGAGAGAAUUUCAGUGGAAGUGUCCUGUCGCGUCCUUUACAGCCCAGUGAUGACAGCAACAAUUGAGCACUGCAAGCCCUAAUGCUUGUGGAGGUAGAAGUCAGUGUUCCCACACUGCAUGGGCUUGACUGUGCUCUCUCCCUUUGGUCUCACAUCCAUGGCAGAAUCUCCUGAGUGGUUCGAUAAUCGGUCACCUGACUGCAUUUAGGGAGGUAGGACUCUGCUGUGACACAGCUUCCCUGAGAAGAAAAUAGUCACCAUUCCACCUACUAAUAUUACUGGCAAAGGACAACUCUAGAAAGGUAUCCUUAAUGGUAACUCCAAGGUAUUCGCUGCUUAGGAGGUCAGAAGGUGAUUACUUGGUAGUACUAAUGUGUGAAAGCUUCAAAUGAAUGAAUGUUGCCUAGGUUUUGAUUUAUCUACUGAAUGAGCUAUCAUGGAGCAAAGCCUAAACCAUUAAUUACUAUUCAAUAUAAUUCUUUUUCUACAAAUUUCUUCCAGUUCCAAUAUUCUUCUCUAUUUUUCUUAAGUUACUGCUGGUUUUGGAAAAUUAAGAGGAGGUAGACCGAAGCAAUGACUCAGAGAUGGCUUAUAAGAACAUACUUGCUAAAUAUUUGGGGGAAAGAGGCUGUAUGUUUCUAGGUUUAUAAAGAAAUGUGAGAAUGAAUUCAUGAAAUGUGGGAAUGGUGUCAUAGUUCUGGUUAAGAUCUUUUCACAUAGAGUGAUGUUUAUGAUGCCAAUGAGAAUAAUACUGGGAUAUAUUCUGUCUUUAUUUUUUAACAAUCUUCUUUGGCGACAUUUGGAAUCUCUUGAGAAAAUACUCAAACUCACUUCCCCUUCAUGCAGUUAGAAAAAUUCAGACUUGGCUUCAUUCUACAAAGCUGCUUUGCUUUAAGUAGCAGUUCUGCAAAACAUAACUUCACAUAUUUCUUUUACUCUAUGCUUUAUUACUGAGAAUAUUUGCAUGAAAACAGGGUCUUUGUUUAAAAGUUCCUGCUUCUUAUUCAUCACAGCUCGUUGAGUUGGAAGCAAUUACGGUACCCUGUACAGAAAGCUCCGAUCCCUUCAGAACAGAAAAAUAUAAGCAGGAAUUGACAAACUUCUAAGAAUCUAAGCUCUUGUUUUCAUGAAAAUGUCCUCAUUUCCUUAGUAAUAAAAAAGGAGAAGGGAGUAAGUAUGUGGCACACAAUGAAAAAAAAAGAAAAAAGAAUGUUUCAAAUGUCUUAAGGUUUGUAUAUGGGCACUGAAAAUUUUUUAUUGUCACAGUGACACCUUGCAUUCAACCUUGCUUGCUUUCAUCCUAAAGAAGAAGGUGUGCACAAAGGAUUUUUUUUGUGUGUGUGUAUAGUAUUUUUUAUUCUUUCUACAGGUAAUGUAUCUUUCUCAGCUACAGCAACACUAAUAUAAACCAGCUACUGGAAUACCACCCAGUGUGUUGCCUAAACCAAGCCAGGACUAAUAAGGCAGUGCUGUAAAUGCUAGCAGUCUAUCUCUGUUAGUGUUCUCAACUUCAUUGCCAUGGAGGGAGAUGUGAUAAUUGGAAAAUGUUCCAGAAAGUUUCAGAUAUGGUUCUACAGCCAUUGUGUCAGGCACUAGUAGACAAAGUCAGCACUGGAACAGAGUGUGGUUAACCAGCUGCCAUUGUCCUGCUUACAACAGGACAGAAACUAGGGAGAAAGCAAAAAUGAAGAAGAGAAUUUCUCAAUCUGAAAUAUUUGGCAAAAUACAACAUUAAUCCCUCACUGGUGUAAAAUACCAUCCAAAUUUUACUUUUGCAUUUGAUCCAUGUAUUUGCAUCAGCAGCAUGGGGGCCUCCUGACUCCACAACAUUAUAGACAAUGAUAACUAAAGACCAAAACAGAAGAAAUUACUGUUGCAUCUCAUUGUAGAUAUUACUUCCUUCACUAUUUUCACAGAAUCACAGAACCACAAAAUAAAUGAGUUAGAAGGAACCCACAACGAUCAUCGAGUCCAACUCCUAGUCCUGCACAGCACCAUCCCCAAGUCACACCACAUGCCCAACAGAAUUUUCCAAACGUUUCUUGAACUCUGUCAGGCUUGGUGCUGUGACCACUUCCCUGGGGAGCCUGUUCCAGUGCCCAACCACCCUUUGGGUGAAGAACUUUUUUCUAAGGUUAAACCCUGCUGCCUUGUCCAUGUCACUAUUUGUGAGGUGACAUCCUCAUCUUCUAAUGGGACCAUGAUAUUUCUACUUCCUUCUGCCAUUCAUAUAUUUGAAAAAACUCUUUUUAUUGUCUCCCACAUUUCUGGCAGCUUCAACUCCACCUGAGCUUUGGCCACACAAAUUUUCUCCCUACAGUGGCAAACAGCAUCUCUGUAUUCUUCCCAUGUCACCUGACCUUGCUUCCAUUGGGCAUACACCUUCCUUUUUAGCCUUAUUUCCAAGAGAACAUUCCUGUGCAGCCAAGCUGGCCUUUUGCUUUGCCUGCUUGACUUCUGACUUUUGGGAAUUGCCUGCUCCUGUGCCCUUUGGAGGUGAUGUUUAAAAGGUGACCAGCACUGAUGGACCCCAGCACCUGCAAAAACAUUUUGUCAGGGAAAUUUACUUACUAAUUCCCUGAGCACACUGAAGUGUUCUCUCCUCAUGUCCAGAGUUGAGGUUUUGCUGGCACUCUCCCUCAUGUCAACAGCGAUUUUAAACUCAAUCUCUUUGCGGUCGCUGUGGCCAAGACAGCUGCCAAUCUCCACUUUGCUCAUGAGAUCCACGCUGUUGACAAGCAGCAGAUCAAGGAGGGCAUCUUUCUGAGUCAGCUCCCUUAGCACCUGUUCCAUACAGUUGUCAUCCAGGUUAUUUAGGAAUCUUCUGGCCUGGGUUGUAUCAGCUGUGUGAUGCUCCCAGUUGAUUUCUGGCAAGCUGAAGUCCCCCAUAAGGACAAGGGCAGUUGACAUGGAAGUGUCCCUUAGUUCCUCAUAGAAUAACUUGUUGGCAUCAUUGUCCUGGCUAGGAAGUCUAUAGUAGACUCUCACGAAAAAAUCCACAUUAUUUGUUUGUCCCUUGAUCCUUAUCCAGAGGCUCUCAACUGCACCAUUGCCACCAAGUCCUUAACCUAAUUGAUCUUGUUUCACAAGUGCAAUUUGCUUAGAGUACUUAUCUUUUUUUCUUUUUUUUGCCACUGUGGUUUUUACUAUAAGGUAGCCAUGCUCUUUAAGUGAGAACACCCUGCGCAUUUUGAGGUUAUAUGUGUAGGGUCCCAGAAUGGUCAUUGGAAAAGUGCCCUUUCAUAAACUGUGAUAUGGUAGCUUUGUACUUGGUAACAUUUAGAUGUCCUCAAUAAAGUUAUCCUCAAAACAACCAAAUUAGUGUUGUUAGCAUCAACUUUAAGCAGCAGAACAGUAUAAAUAGUAUCUGCCCUCACACGACUGCUCCCUGCUACCCAAAUGCAGCUUAUCUAUCACACACUCCUUACACUAGUCUCUCUGUUCCUGCUAAACUGCUGAAUAAUUUUUACUGGGUGUAUCCCCAUCCUGAACAAUAACAACAAAUGAAAGAUCGUUAAUGUUAAAAAGUGAACACAAACAACCAAAUUACUUAAAUAAUUCCCAUGACAACUAGGAACUUAUAAAUAGAAGUGGGCUGCAGAUCUCCAUGACCUUAAAAAAAAUCCUUUUCCAACUCCUCUGCUGUAGUCAAGGGCACCUUCCACUGGACCAGGUUGCUCAAAGCCCCAUGCAACCUGGCCUUGAACACUUCCAUGGAUGGGAUAUCCACAACUUGUCUGGACAACCUUUUCCAGUGUCUCAAUGCCCUCACAGUGAAGAAUUUCUUCCUAAAAUCUAAUCUAAACCUGCCCUCUUUCUGUGUACUGCUAUUUCCCCAUCUGUUGCUACGUGCCCUUUCCUGCUGUCUUGUAGCUCCCCUUUAGGUGCUGGAAGACUGCUCUAAGGUCUCCCCAGAACCUUCUCUUCUCUAAGCUGACCAACCCCACUGUCUCAGACUGUCCUUAUAGGAGAGCUGCUCCAGCCUUCUGAUCAUCUUCAUGUGGGACAGUAUCAAAUGCUUUGCACAAGUCCAGGUGAUGGCACCAGUGAUUUGCAUCAUGUAAAAUUGGUUCAGACCUAAGAAGAACUUUCGGGUUGUCUUGUAGGGUUCUUCUGGAUGGCUGGGUUGGUUUUUUUGUUGGUCUCCAACUCUCCAUGUGCUCUGCCUGACUGGGUUAUCCCUCAGGAGUGAGGAGAGGAUCCCUGAACAAGGAUGGUCCCUGCCACCCGUAGGGCAAUGGGACACUGCCACAAAGUAGGUAGAAGAUUUUGGGGUAUUAUAUGUAGAAAUGCCCAGCACAGAGAGCCGGAGGUAGUCAUCAUUGUGUCCUGCAAAUCUCCCAGCUUGGGAGGGCAGGCCCGGAGAGAACCUCCUCACAGGUCCCACCUCCUGUAAGUACCUUGUACAUUUUAGUAAAGGGUGGUCCAGAAAACAGCUGUUCCAUAUUUCCCACCCACUCUAGGACUCUCCCAGCCCUUUUUGUCAAUCUGGAAACAUACAGAAAGAAAUAAAAGUCUGCAGUGGUUUUCCACAACAGGGAUUUAGCUGUAGUUCUGAUUUCUAACUGGCUGUGCCCUUCCCCAAGCAGUACAACAAAGAGACACUAAGAUGACAGCACUCAGGAAUUAUACAAGGGAUGAGCCAAGGAUUGCCCCCCUGUGUCCCUCUAGAGAUCUGCCAGAAUCCUGGCAAUUAUCUAUACCCAGACCUUGUGAGCCAUUUGCUGUUAGAAACAGGUUUAGUUAGGCCUCAGUGUGCCAGUGAGUUUCCUUAAUUCCAUACUUGUAUCACUCAGAACAAAAGCCACAAUCAGUCUUAGGACAGUGAGGUUUUAGACAGAGCCAGUCUCUGUGACCAUUCUGCCCAGGCACCCCUUUGAUACAGCCCCUCACUCUGAGCUGGGAUAUAGAAAGAGAGGUAGAGAUGGAGCACAAGUCAGCCCAAAUGCUUGUUUUAUUUCACUCCUUUUAAGUAGUGGUAUUUCUCCACCUCUUGUCCCCAGCCAUUUAAUGACCACUCUCUAGUAUAUAAAGCAAUGCAAAAGUGGCUAUAACAAAUAUUAUCAUGGUGCCUUAUCUUUUGGAUCCUUAAAAGUCUCCAAGGUACUUUUGAGGCUUGUCCACUGCUCUGAAACCUGAGGGAUUCACCUGAACCAGCAUGUUCUCUCAUGUAAUUAUGAUUUCUCUUUUUCCAAGAGGGAAAGACCAUUAAAACAAACAAACAAACCAAAAAAAACCAAAACAACAACAACAACAUUAAAAAAAGAAAGCAAACACCCCAUUGGAUAAUGCUUCAAGGCUCUGGAACAGAAAAAAAUGCUUAAUGUGAAGGAUAGCAUGAAUAUUUCUAUUUAUGACCACUAGCCCAUAGAGAACAAUGCUGCCUUAGCAAAGUCCUCACUGUGUUUAACAUAUACUGAACUUUGCAGUGUUAAGCUAUAUAUAUUUUCAUGCAUUUCUGCUUGAACUUUGGGUAAUGGUUCUUAUGAAAGAAUGUAAAACUGGAGGUCUUUGUACUUCCCACAGCUAUUUUUCAAGCCAGAGUUGUAUUUUGUUUUCUGAAAUUGAUACCCUCAUUCAAACAAAUAUGUGAUAAAAAAUGUGUUCAUGUGUGAAAAAGCCAUAUGCAGUGUUGAAAUUCUGGCCAACUCGUUAUACAGAUACUACAUGCUUGAGAAAUGAUGACUCAGUAGGGGAAUUUUACUCAUCCCAUAACAUGCUCAACUUCAUAAGCAACACCUUGCCUUCUUUUACUCCUUCCAGGGACUGAGGAGGUAGAGAUGUGCAUGGACAUUGGCAGGGUACUUUAGAAAGAUAUUCUACUGUUUCUGCUGUGGGUUUUGUUUGGUUUGGUCAUAAAAGGGAUAUAUAAAGAGACAUAUACUCUCUCUGUAAGAUCAAGAACAGUCACGGUGCUUCUCAGUCUCUGAUGGGAAGGAAGAGGGCAUUUUGGCCUUUGCCUCCAAACUUGCAUGACUCCCUGCUCUAUAAUCACCUACUGUGUUGUGUUUAGAUGGGCAGAAAGUUACCUGUUGGUGUAUUAGUGACUUUCUAUUUCAUGCAUUCAUUUUGGUAAUUAGUCCGAGGAAACAGAAAAAGGACAUAGGCGGAAACUUGUUCAUCAUACACAAGCUAAUGCUGGCUGGCCCUGUUGUUCAUCUUGCUUUUCUCUAUCAUUUGUAUUUGCACAUCUGGAUUCGUGAAAGAUGUGAUCCUUAGCCCAUCCCUUGCUACAGGCCUCAGAGAAUUAAUUGAAAUACAAUCAAUCUGUCUGUAGAUGCAGUAUCCCUAGAGAAGAGACAGCAGGUUUGCAAACAUACUGAAGGAAAUAACUGGUCUUCUCUGCUCUUGUGACACCCCACCUGGACUACUGCAUGCCAUUCUGGGGCUACCAAAAUAGGAAGGACAUGUCCCAGCCCAUGACAGGGUUAUUGGAAUCAUGAUCUUUAAGGUCCCUUCCAACUCAAAACAUUCUAUGAUUCUGUGAAGGAAAACUGAAUCACUUUUGUUCUCCAAAGCACAAAUACAGCACAAGAAGUUUUCUCAUCAGUCCAUUUUAAAGGAUGAUCUUGAAAUAUAUUCUAAAGAAUAACUAAAGCAUAUUCUAAAGGAUAACUAAAGGUAAAACACCUUUCUAGAUAUCUCUCUUUGUAAGUCUCUCUGGUAUUGCUGGGUGUCCUGGCCAUGGUAGGUACCAUUUCCAAAGAGGAAGAGACAUCCAAAAAGAUUAUUUGAAGCGUUGUAGAAAAAUAAAUUUCUAAAAAAAAGUCCAAUUUUUUUUCUGGGAAACAAAGCAACAGCCACAGGAAAAACAGUCUGUUAAAGUGGUUGCUCCAUUUUUGUUCUCCACAAAAGAAGGAAGAAGAAGGAGGGAGGAAGGGAGAAAGAAAGAGAAAGAGGGAA